rnacentral:rRNA from 1 species
UACGUAGGGUGCGAGCGUUAAUCGGAAUUACUGGGCGUAAAGCGUGCGCAGGCGGUUCGUUGUGUCGGUGGUGAAAUCCCCGGGCUUAACCUGGGAAUGGCCAUGGAAACUGGCGAACUGGAGUGCGGCAGAGGAGAGUGGAAUUCCCGGUGUAGUGGUGAUAUGCGUAGAUAUCGGGAGGAACACCAGUGGCGAAGGCGGCUCUCUGGGCCCUACCUGGCGCUGAGACGCGAAAGCGUGGGGAGCGAACCGG